rnacentral:rRNA from 1 species
AUUGAACGCUAGCGGCAGGCCUAACACAUGCAAGUCGAACGAGACGCGGACGGGUUAGUAAUGUCCGGGACACUGCCUGAUGGAGGGGGAUACCUACUGGAAACGGUAGCUAAUUCCGCCUAUCAUCGCAUGUGCCCCAAUAGGAUUAGCUAGUUGGUGGGGUAACGGCUCACCAAGGCGACGAUCCCUAGCUGGUCUGAGAGGAUGACCAGCCACACUGGAACUGAGACACGGUCCAGACUCCUACGGGAGGCAGCAGUGGGGAAUAUUGCACAAUGGGGGCAAGCCUGAUGCAGCCAGGCCGCGUGUAUGAGGAAGGCCUUCGGGUUGUAAAGUACUUUCAGCGGGGAGGCGUUACCCGCAGAAGAAGCACCGGCUAACUCCGUGCCAGCAGCCGCGGUAAUUC